GACAGAGGCCCCGAGCGUUAUUCGGAAUCACUGGGCUUAAAGGGUGCGUAGGCGGGCGUGUAAGUGCGUUGUGAAAGCCCUGGGCUCAACCCAGGAACCGCAGGGCAUACUGCACGUCUCGAGGUAGCUAGAGGCCGGUAGAACGAUCGGUGGAGCGGUGGAAUGCGUAGAGAUCGAUCGGAAUGCCAAGGGUGAAGACAACCGGCUGGGGCUUACCUGACGCUGAGGCACGAAAGCGUGGGGAUCAAACAGG
rnacentral:rRNA from 1 species